GAGGGUGAUCGGCCACAUUGGAACUGAGACACGGUCCAAACUCCUACGGGAGGCAGCAGUGGGGAAUAUUGCACAAUGGGCGAAAGCCUGAUGCAGCAACGCCGCGUGAGUGAUGAAGGCCUUCGGGUCGUAAAACUCUGUCCUCAAGGAAGAUAAUGACGGUACUUGAGGAGGAAGCCCCGGCUAACUACGUGCCAGCAGCCGCGGUAAUACGUAGGGGGCUAGCGUUAUCCGGAUUUACUGGGCGUAAAGGGGGCGUAGGCGGUCUUUCAAGUCAGGAGUGAAAGGCUACGGCUCAACCGUAGUAAGCUCUUGAAACUGGGAGACUUGAGUGCAGGAGAGGAGAGUGGAAUGCCUAGUGUAGCGGUGAAAUGCGUAGAUAUUAGGAGGAACACCAGUUGCGAAGGCGGCUCUCUGGAC
rnacentral:rRNA from 1 species